GGCCGACUAGCUCAGUUGGUUAGAGCGUGGUACUAAUACCUGCUGGUGUUAUGCCAAGGUCGUCAGUUCGAUCCUGGCGUUGGCCA
rnacentral:tRNA from 1 species